UGGCGUGUAGUUCAACCGGCAGAACGCCUCCCUGUUAAGGAGGAUGCUGGGGGUUCGAAUCCCUCCACGCCAG
rnacentral:tRNA from 3 species